CGCAAUUCUCGUAUGGGCAUAGACCUAGUUGAUUAAGUUAUCUAGCAAAAGUGGUACCUCUGUAUAGUGGUUCUUAAAUCCUCGCGCAGGUGGCAAAUUUACGCCGAGCAGGGCGAUUGUGAUAAUUUACUGUGGCGCAGGUAAAUAUAUGAGAUGAAUUGUGCACAAAUUGUUUGUGAACCCUGAUUGCGAUGACAUGGUGUCAUACAAUCAGUUCUCUCUAAAGACCUCGGGAACGCCAGAACUCCUCACGUUGCUGAUAACGUUACGUUCAGAGCGCAUGGGGACUAGAGUUCAUGGAACAGGUACCACUGAUGUUAGUAACUAAAAAGCUUUGCCAUGACAAGGCUAAUGUGUUUGGCACGUCAUGGAUUGCGGGUAAUUCCUAGCCCAAAAGCACCUGGUAAUGACAUUGACGUAUACUUGCAGCCAUUAAUUGAUGAGUUGAUGCAAUUGUGGGAUGGUGUGGAAGCAAAUGAUGCUUCCUCAAAGGAGACUUUUAAUUUACGUGCUGCUUUGCUUUGGACAAUUAAUGAUUUUCCAGCAUUUGGAAACUUGUCUGGCAUGAGCACAAAAGGUAAAUAUGCAUGUCCUUCAUGCCACACUGAAUCCUGCUACCACAGACUUGUUAAUGGGCACAAAUAUUGUUAUACGGGACAUCGCCGCUUCUUGCCGAGGCGACAUGCCUGGAAGAAUAAUGAUGCUUCUUUUGAUGGCCAAAAGGAAAAGCGAAGCGCUCCAAAACCAUUGUCAGAAGAUGAUAUUAUUUCUCAGUUUGAGAAAUUUGAACAGGUGAAGUUUGGGAAAUCUGGGAAGAAAAGAAAACGCUCUAGUACAUUGUAUGGUACUUGGAAGAAAAAGAGUUUUUUUUUUCCAACUCCCAUAUUGGAGCAAGCUGACUAUAAGGCAUAACCUAGAUAUCAUGCACAUUGAGAAGAACAUUUGCGAUAGUAUCCUUGGCACCUUGCUAAAUCAAGAUGGCAAGACAAAAGAUACAAUCAAAUCUCGCUUUGAUAUGGAGCUCAUGGGAAUACGUCCUAAACUUCAUGCAACUCCAACCAGUGAUGGUAAAUAUAUAUUCCACCUUGCUUGCUACACCAUGUCUUCACAUCAGAGAAAAGCAUUUUGUGAAUUUCUUACACAUAUCAAGGUCCCAGAUGGUUAUUCUGCAAAGAUAUCUCAUUAUGUAGAUGCAAAAAAUUCUAAAAUAUUUGGGAUGAAGUGCCACGAUUGUCAUGUUUUUCUACAUAGGUACCUUCCAUUGUCAAUCCAUGGCGUGUUACCAGUAGAUGUAUUUGAGGCAAUAAUUGAGUUGUGCAACUUUUUCAGAGAACUUUGCUUCAAGAA